GGGCUCACUUCAGCCACACAUAUAUUAAAAUUGGAACAACACAGAGAAGAUUAACAUGGCCCCUGUGCAAGGAUGACACACAAAUUCGUGAAACGAUCCACAUUUUU